UCCGUAGGUGGAUAAUUAAGUCAGUGGUGAAAUCCUGCAGCUUAACUGUAGAACUGUCAUUGAUACUGGUUUUCUUGAAUACAGUUGAGGUAGGCGGAAUGUGUAAUGUAGCGGUGAAAUGCUUAGAUAUUACACAGAACACCGAUUGCGAAGGCAGCUUACUAAACUGUUAUUGACGCUGAGGUACGAAAGCGUGGGGAGCGAACAGGAUUAGAUACCCUGGUAGUCC
rnacentral:rRNA from 1 species